CACCCUUUUCCUUCCACAGCCACCUAGCCCAGUGUCUCUGCAUUUAAAAGCUUUACUCACCCGUCCCUCCUGGAGACAUUGCUGGUUCGGGCUUUGAACAUCUCUGAACAUUUUUCUCUCUUCCAAUCACAAAAUUCCCUCAACAGGGUUUUUCCACACUAAUGUCCAGAUCACUCUUUUUCUUUAACAGUCAUGAUGCCAUGGUGCAGAAGGAACAUCGACGGUCCCCUCAGCUCCUGCGCUCUUCCCUGGAGUGUCAAUGCCACCUUAUAGGAACCUGGGUGCCUGUUCCUGGCUGGGGAAAUCAGGAUCAGCUGUGGUGAGUCAUGACUCCCAGUCUAGUGUCCCAGACGUUUUCCAGUUGUAGUAGACUUAAGGACUUGACUUUAGUUUUCUCUCAUUUUUGUCUUUUCCUUCUGUUUUCUUUUUUUUUUUUUUUUCUUAGUUUGGUUAAACCCUUGAUUCUCCCUCAGGAAAUCCUAGCUUGGGUUCUGGUCCGGAGGCCUCUGGCACUGACAGCUGUUCCUUCCAUUAUCAUGAAGUGUCAAUCAACUGUUGCACCUCAUGCCCCUCAGCUGAGGGCUGCAUGCUUUGCCAUUAUGGUGCGAAUUCAACCAGGUUUAUUCAAAAAUGGCCACAUUUCACAGCUUAAACUUCUCACCUCUUUGGAGGAACUUAGGAUCUUCCCAAAUUGUCUCUUUCUGUGAAGGGCAUCCUGCUUCAGCAAAAUCUCAUCCAAACAAUGGAUGCUCGGUGGCUUGUUUGUUUGGUUGAUACAGAUAAAAACAAUACCUUUCCCAUAGAAACUUUUCAAAGACGACUGCUCCCCUCAAAGACGGCCUUUCCUUCCUUGCCCAGGGCCUCAAAGACCUGUCUUGGCAAACCUCCCCCAUCAUCUUCUAUUACUUUUCCCCUCCCCUUCAGCUCCAGAGUCCUUGGAUCUUCCCCCUUUCAGCACCUCCACCAUCCCUACCCCUCGGUCCGCCCCUGCCAGACCUUUCCCUUCCCCUCUGGCAUCGCGGUGCCCUAUGCUCCCUUGAGCUUUAAGGUCCCCUGCCAUGGUUGUGGGCUGCAGAGGAGUUAGGGACCCCAGAGCAGCAACCUGAGGCCCAGAAGGCUGACUGCAAAUAGCCAGAGGCUUCAUCCACUCAGGGGGACUUGGGACACCCUGGACCGCCACUUCCUCUCUGCCUGUCCCUCCUCUCAAGGCCACUUCACAGCAUGCAUAGAUGUCCACAGCAGGGCAAAGGACAGUUUAAAGGUCCCCUACCCUUAUAUUGGUGAAGUGUUUCAGCAAUUCAGUUGGUAACUUCAACUUGCCCCAUCUGCUAAAAAUCUGUUCCUUAUAAAAACGCAAAGGUGAGGGAAUGAGGAAAAAGGAAAGGAAAUGAGAAAAGCCACCUCUUUUCUAUGAGCUAGUGAGCCUUGUAUUUCUGUGAUUAUGCCAGAACCAGGGCUACAAUUUUAAAAUGAAGGAUGAAAGCUGGGCACAGUGGUGCACACCUGUGCUCUCAACACUCAGGAGGAUAAGGCAGGAGGAUCAUUCGAGUCCAGAAGUUCAAGACCAACCUGGGCAACAUAGCAAGACCCCAUCUCAAAAAAAAAUAAAUAAAUAACAAAAAGAUGUAAGCUCUGUAGGUCUGCCUGUGCAUUACUUGUAUAUGUGUGUACACACACACAUUAUAUCUGUAAUAUUUCCAACCUCCAGGUGACUAUUACCACAUUUAAUUAUAAAAUCCCUUUAAAAAGUUCCUUUUGGGUUGGGUUAAAGAUAAAUAACAGAUACAAAUUAAAUAUUCCUGAAUUUCAAAGAAAUUAAGGAAAUUUCUGAAAUGAUCAAUGUGGAAAAAUACUCUUAUAAAAACUUACCCAAAUGUUUUCAAAAUUCAACACAUUAAAUAAAUGAAUCUUUGUCCAAUGAGAGUAAUUAGAUAUUGUUGACUUCAUGCCUCCAGUAUGUCUUGUGAGCUGUCAGAAUUGCCAAAAUUCAUUUUUAUUCCAUUUGAGCAUUUUCUUCCUAAACUUACACAAAUACAGAAAAUCUCCCUGUUUAAUAAUCUAGAUAUAUUCUUGCUAUGUUCAUUCUAUAUGCUUGAUAUAUUCAUGGCAUAUCAUGUCUUAUGCAUCUUAAGUGGCUUUCUCUGUAAAAAUUAUUCCCAUCCAUUUUCAUAAUUUAGAUGCAAUACCCACUCUUUUUUGAAAAUAGAAUUAAUCUUUAUGUAUAUGCAUAUUUUAUCUAAAACUUUUUGAAUUGACUUUAAGUGCCACAUAAACAACCAAAUUUUUCCUGUCGAUGGCAUUAUUUUUGUAGUUAACUUUCAUCAGACCUUCUACUUCUGAAAAUUAGCAAAAUUAUGUCAGCCACAGCCGUUUUAAGUCUUUUUUCCUCUGCAGAUGGCUUGCUGGAUGAUUGUGGUCUUUCUUUGGAAUAGUGCUGUUGUUUUCAUGCUCUAUUUUCUGGACAUAAGGAAUCCCUUUCUCUUUUCUCUUUAGCAAUCUAUCACUCAAAAUAACUCCAUAGACUGUGCUCAUUUCUUGUAAACAGAAGUGAAACUUCUCCCUCUUCCUCCCUGACUCUCUCUCUCUCUCAAAAUUAAGAGAGUCUUACUGAGAGUUAUUAUUUCCAUGGCAAGACACUGAUUUGCAUAAUUUGCAUAGACAGUCUGUCCUCCUUGUUAACAGGACAGCAUUAGAAACAAUGGUAAGACAGUCAAAGUCUUGCCUGGGAUACCUGUAGGAGGAGGAUGCUUAUUUAGUCAGAUAUGACCAGACACUUUCCAAAAUAAGGCUGAUUUAUGGAGCCAGUGCUUACAAGCUCCUCUUGGAAAAACUGUCCUGACACCUGGCUGCACAGGGUGCCCAGACUCACAGGGGAGUCAGGAGGUGACUUCCAGGAAUCUUAGGCUACCUGGGGGACCUCAAGAAGAAGGAAGGUCCUGCCAGUCAAUAGGUUCUGCAGGUGAAUGUGAUGGUGAGCUCUUGGUUUGGCUUCUCACCUUCAAGAGGCUUUGCAAAGUGCAUUUGAGAUUCUUCCUGAAAACUUCCAGCAGAGCAAAUGGAAGAAGAUCUACAUGUAAAUCGCCGUUCUUGCUGCAUCUCUGUGAAGAGCCAGGGCAGAUGUCAUGAGACCAGCUCUCUUGGGUGAUCAAGAAUAAUCUUUCCUUAAGAUUGUCUUUGAUCAGAAGUGGGGAGAGACUGUAGAAGGAAAUUUUGUCUUUCAAUGGGGAACUCUAGCACAUCCUUGUGGGUUACUGGAUUCUGGUUGCAUUCAUUUGUGUUGGAGCUAUUUUGAACCUCUUUGAAAACUGCAUGCAACUGGUGGACAUGCAAACUCUGUCUUGUCUGGUAGAGAUUUAAUUGGCUUCCUCUCCCAUAGACCAUGAAGUAAUAGCACUAUUCCAGUUUGAAGAUAUAUAUAUUUUUGAUAUAUAAAUAUAUAUAUAUAUAUCAUUAUGAUAUAUAUUCUAUACAUUAUAUAAUAUAAUUUAUAAUAUAUAGAAUAUACAUAUCAUAAUUUUAGAAUAUAUAUAAUAUAUAACAUAUAUUAUAAUAUGAUACAUAUCAUUGAAAAGUAUUAUAAUAUAUAUAAUAUAUAACAUACAUUAAUAUAUAUAAAUAUAGCUGGGCACAGUGGCAUAUGCCUGUAAUCCCAGUGGCUUGAGAGGCUGAAACAGGAGGAUCAUGAGUCAAAUCCAUUCUCAGCAACAACAAGGUGCUAAGAGACUCAGUGAGUCCCUAUUUCUAAAUAAAAUACAAAAUAGGGCUAGGGAUAUGGCUCAGUGGUCUAGUGCCCCUGAAUUCAAUCCCUGGUACCAAAUAUAUAUAUAUAUAUAUAUAUAUAUAUAUAUAUACAUACACACACACACAUAUACAUAAAUAAUAUAUAUUAUAUAUUGUUAUAUACAAUAUAUAAUAUAUUAAUAUAUUAUUACAGAAUAUAUAAUUAUUAUUCUGAAUUGUAUAUAUUAUUAUAUAUCAAGAUAUAACUGUAUAUAAUAAUUACAUAUUAUCAUAUAAUAUAUUUUAUAAUAUUAAUAUCACCUUGCAGAAAUUACCAAUCUUUACCUAAUUUUUAAAUCCUAUGAUUAUUUUGAGUAUUUGGCUAUAACCCUCUAAGCUAAUCUUUUAAUUUUUCUUUCUUCCUGUUUACUCAGAACAACUAAAAUCUGACUGCCCAGAUCCUCACUGAGCCUCUAGCUUGCCUUUGGAUUGGCCCCUAGUUUCUGAGACAUCAGUGCAAGCUGAAGCCAGUGAUUUGUUAUAAACCUAUAAAAACCCAUCAUUGCAGCAGGCUAUGCGUGGGAUUUGGGCCCUGUUUUCCUCUGGACCAGCCAGUUUCUGAACCAUAUCUGCUGAAAUGCUUGGGUCAUACAUGUCCUCAUAGAAGGUAUAGUCGAGGUUCUGUAUAAUACCCCCAAGAGCAUCAAAAAAUUCAAAGAGCAGUUCUAUAAGACCAGAAGGGCCUAUCUACUAGCCUUGGACUCUUGAAAAUGCAUAUUCUUGGUUCAACUUCUACUUUUUUUUUUUCAAUGCAUCCUUUUACACUAACUUCUCUAUUUUAUUUUAGGCACCCCACUUUUAAGAUGGCCGAUAUAAAGGAUACUUAAUUGACAUUUGCCAACAUACCCAAGAAAUGGUUCAACUGAUCUUCUGGGGACAUCACUAAGAAAACUGACCCUGAGGACUAUUCCAUUCAGUCACCUCCUACUUGAGGUUUUGUCAUCACUGUGUCGUUCAAGGACAGUCUUUCUAGCUGGCCUUGGAUAAGAGGGGUUCUGACCAGCGGGAUCAAACUUGGCCAUAAUACAUUAGGCUGGCUUGCCUAAAGCACUAGGUCCUCAACUCUACAAGGAACUUCUUCACUUUAAUUUAUUUGUUCCUCCUUAGACCCAGCUUUCCACUUCAUGUACAUAACUACAAGCCAAUUUACUAGCUAGGUUUCUCUGGUAGUACAAUUUGAAUGCAAUCUAUCAAGUUUCAGAUAAUGUCCCCCAAUACACAUAUACACACUAGCUCUUUUCUUUCUUCUUUUCUGAUGUUGGGGAUUGUGCCCAGGCUUCAUGCACAGCAGACAAGCUGAGCCACACCCUAGCCACGCAUCAGCCUUUUAGCACUGCACAGACACAUCCCAGAACCUUUGCCUACAAAAGCGUUGCUUGCCUAUUUCCUGCCUGCGAUACUUCUGGCCUAGACUUGGAGUAUGUUCCCAUUGCGGUAGUCUCCCUCAGUAACAUUGUUCCUUGCUCAACUCCAGACUCACUUUUUAACUUUUGCUUUACAAUGCAAAAGAUAUCAUUUGGGAUUUGAUUUGGAAAAGGUUAAAAAAAAUUAAACUUGUAAGAAAAUUUGAUUGCUUAAAUGGGAUAUCAAAUUGCUAAGAAACAAAACUUGGUACCUAUAUAACCCAAAUGACAUUAAAGUAUUUCUAAAAUAGACAUGGGUGGUAAUAUCAUUGAAAAAAUUAUUAUCUAGUUCUUGUAAUCUGGGGCAUAGUAAAGCCAACACAAAAGACAGGACAUCAUUCCAAAGCACACAAUGUUCAUUUCUAUUCUGAUUCUUUAGAAGAGAAAGAAAAAUCUUUUACUAGCUCUGACUAAGAGGAUAUCACUAAUCCAAGAAAAAAAUUGUCAUUUUAAUAGAAAACCAAAUUCUUUU
rnacentral:lncRNA from 1 species